ensembl:lncRNA
AUGCUUGUCUUUCUGCUCCUUGCCUCAAUGUUUUACCAAGGUCUUACAGUUGUGAGCUAUGGAGACAACUUCAUUACUGCCUUUCCAGAGAACCUUGGUUUCUUCUAUCCGUCUGGUACCAUGAACUAUCUAAGAGUCACAGCCCUUUAUGACAGCACUAACUUCACAGUCUUCUACCAAAACAGACAGAUAGUCCAACAUAUUCCGAAGUCAGGACAGACCGUGAGUGUUGUGUUUCCAACGUCUGCUGAAAUAUAUCAACUAGGCUCUUCGCUUUUAUCUGUCAGAAUUACCAGUGACAAAAACAUCACAGUGGUUUCUGUAAGUAAUCGGGCAGGCAGCACCCAAUCCCAUGUCAUCCAGCCAACGGUAAAUCUCGGCACAAACUAUUUGAUCCCUUUGCUCGAUUACCCAGGGUAUCUUGAAUCUUUCAACCUAACUAGCCUUGUCAGUACAGCCAUAAGAUACAGCUCAUUCAAGUUACUCAUUAUCAAUGCGGUGGACAGUCAAAACAGUGUCACUUUAGUCAAGCAAACAUCAACAUCAGGUAUUCAAAAUGAGACGUUCAGUAUGGAUUCCUACCAGCUGGUGCAGCUUCAGACCAACGGUUCUGUUUUGAGGGUCAAAUCAAGCAAAGAAAUCGCUGUGAUACUGACCCACCCAUGUGUAGAGACUCAGAGCUGUAACUGUAACUUGGUAAUAAAUCAGAUUCUUCCCACAAAGUUUCAGGGUCGGAGCUUUAUCGUACCUUCCAUCUUCAACAAUUCUGAGACCAAAUUACUUAUGCUGUCAGAAAACACGUCCUCGCUAUUUCACAAUGGUAACCAGCUACAGGCUUCUCCCUCAACGCUUCUGCCAUUUCCAGACCUGCAGAAAUCCCAGCUGGUAAAUGCAACAGAGCAAGUGUCCCUCAGGCUUUUCAGUCCGGGCGUCAUUGUGGAGUUGAUCCCAGAAACCAUGUUUUUUGCUUGCUUCCUGCUGCAAUUUUCUUCAACAAAUGGCAAGGCAUUGGUGAUCGCUGAAACAGACAGUAAAGAUGAUGUUCACACACAUAAUGGUUUGCUCUCAGCAUCUGACUGGACUGCAAUCGCUGGCACAAACUACUCUUCGGCUGUUGUAACUAUACCAGAUCAAAUUGCCACAAUCUGGCAUCCAACAUCAAGGAUUGGUGUUUAUAUGCUGGAACAUAUGUCUGCAAAAGUAAUGUUUGGAGGCCCGGCUAUACCAAUCAAUGAAAAACCAGGUAAAAGAUCUCAUUUCAAACAAAUAUAUAUCUGUCUGUCUGAUAGACAUUCUCAAUUCAAUUUUGAAUGGUGCACGACCCUUGCUGGUGGAAGGCAAAAGGUUAAAAUCUGUUAAUUUUUUCAUGCAUUUAGAUCUUCAUGGCUGUAUGUUAGUUCCUGGAGCAUUUGCAAUUGGAAAGGACCCUCUAAGUUGGACGGAGUCUCGUGAGUACUGCAUAAAUAAAGCAAAUCAGUUUGCCUGUCCUAUAACUAAAUCUGUCCUUAAGGACAUGGCUGAUAACCUGACCAAGGAGGAUGGGGAUGGCUGGAUCGGUCUCCGCCGCAGUUUACUAACUACAGAUUGGUACUGGCAGGAGGAGUAUGAGCCCCCAAUCUCUGUCAAUUACAUUCACUGGGAUGACGGGCAUCCACUGAACGUUUUGAAGGGCUUAUGUACUUCAGUGUCACUUGACCCUAAAAAUGAUUUCAAAUGGCAAAGUGCACGCUGCUGUGAUAAAAAGAAGCCAGUCUGCUACAAAAGGCCAGCUUACCUCAUUCCUUCACAACAAUUGUUGGUACUUAACGUUUAGUGCUUGUUAGUCAUGCUAUUCUUUCGGUUCAAUAAGUUCAUACGGCAUAACCACCUGCAUAUCUGAGCUGUAUUUUUAAUGAUUGCAAUGUCUUUAUGUUAGAUUUAUUUUAUAUACAUGCUAAAAUUAUAUAAGGUUAAGGUUAUAUUAAGCAGUUGUGUUGAUAUUUGAAUUAAACUGUUUUUCAACUUAUCUUAGACAUUGACUCAAAUGGAAACAGGAAGUAGAUCUGGAAAUUAUGAAUGCCACAUCAACAAAAAAAUGUAUAUCAUUAAUAAAAUGAACAAAAAUAUUAUAAUCAACGUAGAACUUUAAAGGGUUGUAUAUAACAAAAUAAAAUUGUAUAAAGC